rnacentral:rRNA from 1 species
UACGUAGGGGGCAAGCGUUGUUCGGAAUUACUGGGCGUAAAGGGCGCGUAGGCGGCACAGCAAGUCGGGAGUGAAAGCCCGGGGCUCAACCCCGGAAUGGCUUUCGAAACUGCUGAGCUAGAGUACAGAAGGGACAACCGGAAUUCCCAGUGUAGCGGUGAAAUGCGUAGAUAUUGGGAAGAACACCUGAGGCGAAGGCGGGUUGCUGGGCUGAUACUGACGCUGAGGCGCGAAAGCCAGGGGAGCAAACGGG